rnacentral:rRNA from 1 species
UCUACCUACGGGACGCAGCAGCGGGGAAUAUUGGACAAUGGGGGAAACCCUGAUCCAGCGACGCCGCGUGAGUGAAGAAGUAUUUCGGUACGUAAAGCUCUAUCAGCAGGAAAGAAAAUGACGGUACCUGACUAAGAAGCCCCGGCUAACUACGUGCCAGCAGCCGCGGUAAUACGUAGGGGGCAAGCGUUAUCCGGAUUUACUGGGUGUAAAGGGAGCGUAGGUGGCAGGGCAAGUCAGAUGUGAAAACCCGGGGCUCAA